CAGCAGCCGCGGGAAUACGAAGGGGGCUAGCGUUGUUCGGAAUUACUGGGCGUAAAGCGCACGUAGGCGGAUCGAUCAGUCAGGGGUGAAAUCCCAGGGCUCAACCCUGGAACUGCCUUUGAUACUGUCGAUCUGGAGUAUGGAAGAGGUGAGUGGAAUUCCGAGUGUAGAGGUGAAAUUCGUAGAUAUUCGGAGGAACACCAGUGGCGAAGGCGGCUCACUGGUCCAUUACUGACGCUGAGGUGCGAAAGCGUGGGGAGCAAACAGGAUUAGAUACCCCGGUAGUCCCUGUCUCUUAUAC
rnacentral:rRNA from 1 species